GAUGAAGAACGUAUCGAAAUGCGAUAAGUAAUGUGAAUUGCAGAAUUCAGUGAAUCAUCGAAUCUUUGAACGCACCUUGCGCCCUUUGGCCAUUCCGAAGGGCAUGCCUGUUUGAGUAUCAUGAACACCUCAACUCUUCAUGGUUUUCCAUGAUGAGCUUGGACUUUGGGGGUCUUGCUGGCCUGUGGGUCGGCUCCUCUCAAAUGAAUCAGCUUGCCGGUUUUUGGUGGGCAUCACAGGUGUGAUAACUAUCUACGCUUGUGGUUUUCCACCAGGGUAACCUUCAGCAGUGGAGGUUCACUGGAGCUUACAAAUGUCUCUCCUCUGUGAGGACAGCCCUUUGAAUGUUUGAUCUCAAAUCAGGUAGGACUACCCGCUGAACUUAAGCAUAUCAAUAAGCGGAGGA
rnacentral:misc_RNA from 1 species